rnacentral:snRNA from 1 species
UUUAUAAAUGCAAGUAAUCUAUAGAAAAAUUGGAAAAAUACACAGAUUAGCGUGGCCCCAGCACAAGGAUGACAAACAAAUUUCAUAAAGCAUUCCAUAUUUCU